rnacentral:rRNA from 1 species
UAGGGAAUAUUGGACAAUGGGGGCAACCCUGAUCCAGCCAUGCCGCGUGAGUGAAGAAGGCCCUCGGGUUGUAAAGCUCUUUUGUCCGGAAAGAAAAGCAUUUGGUGAAUACCCGGAUGUUCUGACGGUACCGGAAGAAUAAGCACCGGCUAACUUCGUGCCAGCAGCCGCGGUAAUACGAAGGGUGCAAGCGUUACUCGGAAUUACUGGGCGUAAAGCGUGCGUAGGUGGUUGUUUAAGUCUGAUGUGAAAGCCCUGGGCUCAACCUGGGAAUGGCAUUGGAAACUGGGCAGCUAGAGUGCGGUAGAGGGUAGUGGAAUUCCCGGUGUAGCAGUGAAAUGCGUAGAGAUCGGGAGGAACAUCUGUGGCGAAGGCGACUGCCUGGACCAGCACUGACACUGAGGCACGAAAGCGUGGGGAGCAAACA